GUCUGACCUGGGUUCCACAUUGUCACCCAUCUCUCUGAAUUGUCCGACCCUGUGUGGGCACCCAGCUGCCUUUGCAGACUCAUAGGUGCAGAGAGCUGCUGACCUGGGACAUGACUGGAGUCCACACCUCCAUUCGGAGGCAGAGCUGGAGCUGUGAAGGGGCCGGGACAAACAGGAGAGGUGCUGGGGCCGAAUCCCAAGGGCAUGAGGAAGUCUCUGAGGUCAUCUAUGAGCAGAUCCUUGAGGAAUGGGUGGACUCACGUGGUGCAAACCUGAGACCUGGGACCUCCCUGACUGGACAUGUCCUGAACUCCUCCAGCGAGUCUUUUGGACAAACUGGACCGGAGUGUCCUGGGCAACCCCCCGUGCCUCCCGGCGGGCCCUGCCCAGGCACAGAGCGUGGGAGCCCCCGGUACUGACGACCCUGGUAACCCACGCUUCCUCUGGCCCCAGGUGACCCGCCCGCAGAGGACACACCUGUCACGCUGCAGGGAGGUGGCCCCCCGCAGGUGGGGCAGGAGCCCCCCUUGCAGGCGUCCUCGGGGUCCAGCCACGACGAUGUGGGCGUGGCGUGCCCGGGGCUGUGAGCCCACUGCUCCUUCUCCACCGGCUCUUCUGCCCUGGGGCGCUUCCAGGGCGAACCUCGGUCUUCCUAGUUUUGACAGAUUUGUCUUCCUUAACGAUCCCCUCCUCUCCUGACGUUAAUAAAAC
ensembl:lncRNA